rnacentral:rRNA from 1 species
CAGUCGCCACGGUAAUACGAAGGGGGCUAGCGUUGUUCGGAUUUACUGGGCGUAAAGCGCACGUAGGCGGACUUUUAAGUCAGGGGUGAAAUCCCGGGGCUCAACCCCGGAACUGCCUUUGAUACUGGAAGUCUUGAGUAUGGUAGAGGUGAGUGGAAUUCCGAGUGUAGAGGUGAAAUUCGUAGAUAUUCGGAGGAACACCAGUGGCGAAGGCGGCUCACUGGACCAUUACUGACGCUGAGGUGCGAAAGCGUGGGGAGCAAACAGGAUUAGAUACCCGUGUAGUCCCUGUCUCUUAUAC